CGUGCCUGUCACAUGAUUUCCAUUUCAAAGAAAACAGAUUUCUCUGCAAAAGAUCAACGUUCUCUUCCUUCUCUUUCCCAUUUCUUCCCCCAAUUUUCAUAACCCUAGUUUAUAAAUUCACGAGACCAGGUGGGUAAUCAGGUGAGUCAGAUUGGUUUUGUUGGAGAAAGACAAGAAAACGCAAUGAAGAUUCAAGGGUGUACACAUUUCUAUUUUUUGUAGUUCAAUAUCGACAAAUUUAACUAUCACUACCACAAGAAUGAAACUUUUCAGUUAGAAACUUUUAUUGCCACUUCCACAUCCUCUAGAAAGGCACAUCAUUAACUAUUUUCUCUCCUAUAGCAUAUCGAAUCUUUAACUUUGUUCUGAUUCUAUUUCCUAUUGCUAGCUUGAUCUCCUUUUAGAUUUUGAAAUUUCAGUAUAUUAUUAUUCAUUUAGUAGCAGCUAAUUUGCUUGAUUACUAGCGGAAGGAAUAGACACUCAUUGAUUGACUAUGAAAUAAACUAAGGUUUGUCCCAAACCUCCCCUUAACUACCCAAGAAUGCACCUGCCUGCAGAUUGCAAGAAAUGGUAGUAACGAGCAGGCCUUCAGAGUAACUGAAAAUGUAUAUUCAUCUCAAGCCAUAUCAUUUUUUAGCAUCUUAUGGAAGAUUUCUAACCCAGCAACAACCUCAUCAUUGGGAACAAGGUCGGCUAUCAGUGCAUUCCAUGAUGCACAAGAUGUUAUACGCAACCAUAAUCAUGACAUUCUAUAGAGGCUGAGUAUGAAAGGGCCCCAGAAACGGUGAAUUCAUUAGGUUCAGUAUUGUUCUUUCUCAUCAAACAGAAUUGUGUCAAUGCCUUAUUGAAGGCCUUUUGAUGGUAAAGUCCAGAUACAAAAGCAGUCCAAGAUAUAACGUUCCUACUGACAAGCCCUCGGGACAAAUUCUCGGCCUCCUCAAUCAUUUUUGCUAUUCAAAAAUGUACCUUUUACUUUUCUAUGUAAUGAAUGAUUUAGAUGAAUGAGAAUUUUGAUGAAGCUUUUGGCAUAAAAUUUCUA